GUAUAGUUCAAUCACAAUGAUCCCAAAAAUUGUUUUGUAUUUCACCGCUUCACAUGCAUGCAUUCAUCUAUCCACUUAUCAUCUAACAAACAUUUACUAAGUACUCUUCUAACAACUGUCCUGGGCAUGGGAAAAUGUAAGACCAAAAACAAAAGGGUAAAACUUACAGCCUAAUGGAGGAUUUUUAAAUAUACACCUGAAAGUUCAGUAACUUAUGACAAUGAAUGCUAGGGAUAUAUAGUAGGUUCCCUGGGAGUUGGGUGGCCAAGAUGAGGGGGAGGUGCAGUGAGUGGCCUCAUCUGUCUUCUCAGUGACUUCUUCCUCCCAUUCAGAAGCAGGUGCACCUCAAUGAAAAGGACUUUGAGUUUGUGAGCUGGAAACCUGAUUUUGGCCCCAGUUCUGCAAUUAAUUUCUUGAUGAAGAAUGUUUAGAACUUCAAGCCCAGGAGACAACAUCUCAAGUAACCCUGAGAGAACUGCUCUGAGGAGGCAAGGGGAGGAGCCAGGUUAUAUAGAAGUUUUGCAACAAAGGGCAGGAGAACAAGGCUUAUCACUGGAGCCAGAAAAUCAGCACAGAGAUGGGUCUGAACAAACAUACUUCACUUAAGUUGCCCUUAUCUUCCAUUUGUUCCCCUAAUAUUUACCUUCCCACAACUUACCACCCUGAAAACCCAAACCCCCUUUCCUUUGUCUUGUCUACAAUUUACUGCCCUUUGUUAAAAAUGUUAUAUAGCCUCCAGGUGUAACUAAUUCUUGUGUCUUCACUCUUUUCUAUGAGGACCUCCACGUGCAGAGAAAUUAAAAUAUUAGCAUCAAAUAAAGUUUGGAUGCUUUCUCUCCUGUUAAUCUGUUUUUUGACAGUUUAAUUCGUGGAUCUCAGGCAUAUAACAGAAGCGAGUAG
ensembl:lncRNA